rnacentral:rRNA from 1 species
CCUACGGGUGGCAGCAGUGGGGAAUAUUGGACAAUGGGCGAAAGCCUGAUCCAGCCAUGCCGCGUGUGUGAAGAAGGCCUUCGGGUUGUAAAGCACUUUCAGUGGGGAAGAAAGCCUUGGGGCUAAUACCCUCGAGGAAGGACAUCACCCACAGAAGAAGCACCGGCUAACUCCGUGCCAGCAGCCGCGGUAAUACGGAGGGUGCGAGCGUUAAUCGGAAUUACUGGGCGUAAAGCGCGCGUAGGCGGUCUGAUAAGUCGGUUGUGAAAGCCCCGGGCUCAACCUGGGAACGGCAUCCGGAACUGUCAGGCUAGAGUGCAGGAGAGGAAGGUAGAAUUCCCGGUGUAGCGGUGAAAUGCGUAGAGAUCGGGAGGAAUACCAGUGGCGAAGGCGGCCUUCUGGACUGACACUGACGCUGAGGUGCGAAAGCGUGGGUAGCAAACAGGAUUAGAUACCCGGGUAGUC